rnacentral:siRNA from 1 species
UUCAAUGAGUUCAGCAGCCUG